rnacentral:lncRNA from 1 species
ACUUGUUAAGAUUUUCUGCUUCCCCAAAAUAGUUUUAUAUGUGGGGAAAGGACAGUAUUCUAACUUUGCAGGGGAAGCACUUUUCUCCUGGUUGAAGAGCAAAUUCAACCAGGUUGAAUUUUUAUGGUUGUCUGCUUCUGUUUCUGCUGCUGUCAGCUAUCAAAUUCAGUAAAAACAAGGGUUUAAUUAGCUAACAGUCUCACAGUGUUGGAGGAUAAUGGCAUUGACAAAGAAAAGAACAACACAAUAAAAGAUUAUUUGAAUACUAAUUUGUGUACCUGCUGUUUUCUGCAGUGGCUCCACAGCAGGGAUUGGUAACUUUGUAUUAAAGGUUUAAUAACCGUGGGCGCUGGAGAAUGAGUCAGUUAUGUCUCCCAAUUGAAAAAGCACCUUCAGUGUCUUCCUCUCUCUUUUUAAUCAGGCUGAGAGUGGAAUCCAAGAGUAGCCAGGCUUGAAACUAAAGGGAGGGCUGGAGUAUUGAUCUGUUAACUAUUUGUAGAAGGGAUAAUUCUUGGGUGAAAAUCUCCUAUGGUGGUUUAUUUUUUCAGAUCCCAGAUUUGAUUGGCGCUGUAGGUUAAAAAUAUGUUAUUUCAUAUUACCAAGUAGAUGAAUAUCAAUGCCACGAAUACAUUAGGAAAGAAGCCCCCCUCCACUAACUUAAGAAGUCCCAUUGUUAUUUAUUCCAGUGGUUCAUUAUGAAAACAUUCUAGAUACAUUUUUACCUGCUCCUAAUUGAAUUAGGCACUUCAGGACACAUCUCCUAAGAAUAAGGACAGUUUCCUACAUGACACUAUUACUAUAUCCAAGAAAAAUUAGCAAUAAUUGAGAGCAUUUUAGUACUGUAUCUUGCACUCUGUUUCUUUUAAUAAAUAUAUACCAGUUUUUUCCUGUGGUGAACAUAUAUUUACCCAAAUGACUAUCAUUUUCCUCUAGAAUAUUGAGUUUUAAGUUCUUCCUCUACAACAAGCCUGCUUUAUCCAGCUUCUUUAAUCUAUUUCUGGUAUUCUCCCCUUCUCCUAGCAGAAUUAGCUGUAGAAUUGAUCUUUUCUCCAAUAACUACUCCACUCUGCAGUCAGAGUAAUAUUUUUGAGUCACAAAUUGACAUGUGACCUUAUUCCCUUCUUAAAACCUAUCGAUGGCUUCCUGUUGCUCUUAGGAUAAAAUAAAAACCUUUAUCUGGCCUUAUAGCUCUGGAUGAUCUGGCCUUUCUCACACCAUGUUCGUCUCACACUAUGCUUUCCUCUCUGAGGGAGACUUCUCAAGAGGAAAAACUGAGGUAGGAAUUCAGGGAACAACUCUUCAAGAGAUGAAACUUAAGUAGGAAUUAAUGGCCAAUAUUUACAUAUGGGAGGGAAGAAGACACUUCAGACUAGGAAGCAAUUUUGGAGUAUGGAUUGGUAAGACUACUAGAAAAUGUGGUUAGAAAGGUGAAGAGGAGGUAAAUUAUGAAAAGCCUUAUAAGGACAAGGCUGAGGAAUCAUUUUCACAAGUCUGUUAACUCCCCCCGCCUCUGAGAGAAUUGAAAGGUGUGGUGAUGGGUCUGAGAGACUAGCUAGGAAGCUGUUGCAGUCCAAGAAUGCAGUAACUUCUUGUACUAGAUAGGAGAGUAUGACUGCAAAGGAGGGGACAGUUGAGAUAUUUUUUGGGGGGGAGUAGAUGUGAAAUUAUAAGAGACUGGAGAGACAGAAGAGAGUCAAAGUGGUUUCAAGAUUUUAUGCCCCUGUGCCUAGGAGAAUACAAUUUAGGGUAGAAGUAGGGUAUGCAUUAUAAAACUUUAGUUUUGUUUGCUAAAAGUGUUGAGGUAUUGUUGAAAUGGGCAGCUUAAACAAUUAUCAGAAUUAUAAGCUAAAAGAUUGUGGAGAUCAGGUCUAUUAGUUAGAGUGAGGUUCAACUACAAAUAAUAAGAAAUCUAAAAUUUAUGUGCCUUACCCAAAGUAGUCCUUCCCCCACAAAAAAAAAAGGAGGGCUGGAGGUAGAUAGACUCAGGCUGGAAGGGCGGCAUCACAUCGAGAACUGAGUUCAUUCUUUCUACUCCACUUUCUCAGUGUCUGGCUUCCGUCCUAAAGGAUACCUCAUGGUCCAAGAUGACUGCUAGAGAUCUAGGCAUUGGGCCUGAGUUGCAGACCAGAAGAGCAUGGGGAAGGAGAAGGACAACAAGGGGUACCACACAACUGACUCCUUUCCCUUUAAGCAGCCUUUCUGGAUUUAGACAUCUGGACUGACUGACCUAUGUGAUCUUUCAUCCUGGGCUAUAAUUUGGUGGGUAAGAAUUGGGUUUCUUUUAAUAAGGAGGAAAGGGAGAAUAGGUGUUGGGAUAAGCAACCGACAUUGUCUGCCCCAGGGAACAAGAGACCUGUGCAAGAGCAAUGAUUGGUCAGUAGGAGUGGAAGAAUGUGAGGUGAUGGUUAUGUUGAGAAAGCUCAAAAUUAGUGAUUUUUGAGUUCCAUGUGUGGUGGUUGUUAAUCUGUGAAUUAGGCUUCAUUCUUAUAAUUAGUUGAUUACCUUGUGUGAAUUAUAAACAAAGGAUAAGGGUUGAUUCUGUUUUCUUUACUGUAUUAUAUGUUUGGUAUUCUGAAAAAUGAGUGAACACAUGCCCAAUAAGUCCUUUUCAGGGAUCUUGUGGACCUUUGGUUUUUGGGGAUUGAGGGAGGUUUCCAAGGAAAUAAAUAGACUAUCUCAGCUUUUUUUAAUCUUUAGGAGGGAAACUGCUCAAGAAAUGGUCUUUUUUUUAUGGCAAUCUUUACUGUUUAGCAUAAUAAAAUUUGCUUUGUAACCACAAAAAACUAUAAUACAUAAGAAAAUUGUUAAUAUAGUUGCAUAUAAUAUUAAUAUGAUAAGCUGUUUUUGUAAUGACUACAUUGCUGGUUUUUUAAAAAAAAUCUAACUCCUGAGAACACUUUUUUGCAAACUAUAUAAAUAGGUAGAUGCCUUGAGAAGCAUUUUUUGGAAACUUAGCCCCAAAUGCCAGAUAAAGCUAUUAGAUGUAUGCUGCUUAAAAUGGUGAAAAUCAGCAUUUUACUCUUCAUAUUUAGAGACAAUUCCUUACUUUCCUUGUAGCACUGUAUCUGCUGCAGAGUGUGCAUGAUUUGGUCUUACUUCUGCUGGCUGGUUUCUCAUCCUCUCAAUAGCAUCAGUAUUAAGCCAGCCUUCUUUACCUCCUCGAUCCAUAUUAAACCUGUCUUGGAAAGAGUCUGUUUAUUGGAUAAUAUAGCUACACCGGGGCUCUAUGACAAUAUCUUUUGCUGCCUCAUUAACUCUGGAGCAUUAGAACAAGAUAAAAAUGCCCUAAAGCCUCUUAUCUGAUGUCUGGUGUAACCUGCUGAAAGCAGAAGUGCCAUUAGUUUAUGUUAGAAAUCAAAUGGCUCUCUCCAGUUCAGGAAGUACUGAUUAAACCUGAAGUGUCCCUCGAGGACUCUACAGCUGUCACCGGGGUGGUGGCUGUCCCUUACCAAAAGGGAAAUCUGGGCCAGAGGUCCCAUUGGGGUGGUGCUUUAAGAACUCGCACGUGGCUGCCCCAGCUGUUCUGCUUUGCCUAAUGAAUUGUUUUACAAGAAGAGCCUGGGUAUUGUCAUCACAGGCUGCUUUCCUCAGGGACAGGAGCAGGCCAAAUAAUAAGUAAUGUUAGUGAUGGUAAUUGAAAUGUGAUAGCUCUCCUGGGAUCUUUAUAGCCUGGAGCUGGUCGGCACUUGUGGAUCUUCUUAUCCUACCAAGGCUCUAUUUGGAGAGUGCCUUAGUAUUAUUUUUUUUUCAGUUUCAUAAUAAUGCUGUGUGACUUUUUUUUUUCUCUCCUUCCCGCUAUAGCACUUUAUUGACAGGAGCAGUCUUAGGAACAUUAUUUGCUUUAAGUACAAAAGGAACAGCUUUAGCCUUUUCAUUUAAAUUAUCAACAUUGCAGUGGUAAAGAAGGGCCACCCCAUCUUCUUAGUCUCUUGGGGAACCACUGCAGACAUCUCUCUAGACUUUUAAAAGAAGAUUUUUAACUUAUACAAGUAAUAAAAGCUCUUGAUUUAAAUUUUUAAAAAAUUAUGGAAGGAUAUAAAGUGAAAAGUAGGAGUUCCUGUUGUGGCUCAGUGGGUAAUGAAUCUGACUAGGAACCAUGAGGUUGCAGGUUCGAUCCCUGGCCUCGCUCAGUGGGUUAAGGAUCUGGCGUUGCUGUGAGCUGUGGUGUAGGCCACAGACGUGGCUCUGAUCCUGCGUUGCUGUGGCUCUGGAGUAGGCCGGCAGGUACAGCUCUGAUUAGACCCCUAGCCUGGGAACCUCCAUGUGCUGUGGGAGUGGCCCUAGAAAAAGGCAAAAAGACCAAAAAUAAAUAAAUAAAUAAGUAAAGUGAAAAGUAAAGACCUAACCCACUGAACUUGUCCGAGGUAACCACCAACAGUUUCUCCAUGAACAUUUCCAGAUAUUUUCUGUGCAUUAAUGAAGUUAUAAAUGUCGUGUAGAUGAGAUCAUAAUAUGAAUAUGUACUGUUUUGUGACUCGUAUUUUCCUUCCCACAAAGUAUCUUGGAUGUCUUUCCAGAGCAGUGCAGAUCAAUCUAUCUCAUUGUUUCUCAGUGGCUACGUAGAAUUUCAUAGUAUGGAUGUACCAAUGCUAGACUUUUUGUAGAUAGUUUGACCUGGACCUAUGAGUAAAUACGUACUGUACCAAUUAGUUGCAGUCAUUGAUUUGUUUUGUUCCAUGGUUCAACCUAUGAUUUUACAUGAUUUCCUCUCUUCAGGAAUGUUGCCUUUAGUUCCAGGGUGUUUUAAAAUGGGAAAUACUGGGGAGUUCCUAUUACGGCUCAGUGAUAAUGAACCCAGCUAGUAACCAUGAGGGUGCAGGUUUGACCCCUGGUUUCACUCAGUGGGCUAAGGAUGUGGUGUUGCCAUGAGCGGUGGUGUAGGUUGCAGAUGCAGCUCAGAUCCCGCAUUGCUGUGGUUGUGGUAUAGGCUGGUGGCUACCGCUCCAAUUCGACCCCUUGCCUGGGACCUUUUGUAAGCCAAAGGUGUGGCCCUAAAAAGCAAAAAUAUAUAAAUAAAAUAAAAUAAAUAAAAAUAAAAUAGGAAAUACUGGAGGUAAAACUUUUUCGGAGGGAUGGUGUGAAUCUUGUCAUGGGUUAUCAGCUGGACAUAUGUAGUAAUUUGCAGCCUGCUGUGUUUUUUAAAUACUUUGCUUAAUUAAAUGAGAAGUGUUCUAUCCCAGAGAGGUGGGGAAAACAAAUAGCCUUUAAUGGAUGUUGUCUAAGGCAUUGACUCAAGGCUUCCUCUAAAGUUGAAUGAAUGUUUUCUCCCCUAAUUUUCUACUUCCCAAGUUCCAAGAAUCAAGUUAUGAAUGCACUGAUGGGCUUGGGAAAUGAUUUGUCAGCACGUGAAAAUGAGGGCUUAGGUUUCUUGUGUAACAUCUUGGCUAACAAAGCGAGUUGGUGCCUCAUGAACUUUAGAGCCCUUGCUGGGAGUGGCAAUGUGAUGAGUGAAGCAAAGCAAUCUUCCAGGAGCAUUUCAGGUCAGUGAUGGCAGAAAACAGUUGUCUUCUCAGGCAAA